rnacentral:lncRNA from 1 species
AGGGCCGUCCUUGCCACUCCGGGGAGUCAGGAUAACGUGCUCGGAGAGGGCACCGCUUUGUUUCCAUUACUGAUAGGAGAAGCAGCCACAGGAGAAAAAAAAAUGUGCUUUGUUGUUAAAGCUGUGUCUGGUUUAUACCCACACCAUGAACAACCUUCCAAGUGACAGUGGGUUUGCAAUGUCUGUUUUCUUUCUGGUUGACUUCUGUGGUCAGGAAAGCGUUACCCACCUGACUGUGUGAAGAGACUAGCAGGGAGAGAGGGGAGAAGGAAAGGCCCAGGGAAAAAGCCAAACCUGCUAAUGGAUUUAUCCUAAAGUUAGGGAUGAAGGAAGUUACAAGGACUUCUCAGCUCAUGAAAGGCCUUCCCUCAUGGACCACCCUCCACUGAACUAUCCCAUUUAGACCCCUGCCCUCACUCACCUGGGGACGCUGGAUAACCAGUAGAAGCAAAGAAGAGACACAGUGUCUUGCCCUUACCUGCCAGUGCUUACAAAUAUUGCUUGCACUGGGCAGCUGAAUCCACAAACAAAUUAAAUUCUUUCUCAGAUGAACACAAUGAUCACACAUGAUCAUUUUCCUUCCAGCUCUUUCCUCUGGAGCAGAGGGAGGAGAUGCUCUCCCAGUGUCACAGCGAGUUGUGCAGCACUCAGACCCAGCACCAUCAGCCCUCUCCACUUGCUUCACUGCUGCAGUAGCUGCAGCUUUAGCAUGGACUCUUGCAGACAGCUACGACUCUAGUGAAAUGCUUGAGGUUUUGGAGAUCAUUUGUAACUUCUUGGUAUGCUACCAAGGCCCGGAUGGAAGCCAAAGACGACGACAAGGAAGGGCUCAUAGAAAGUGGAGGACAGGCUGGCAGUAUGGCUGCAGACACUAAGUCUUCCUGCAAUUCAGUGAUCUGAGAAUCCAGGUCAUCGUUUCCGUCAGAGCUGCUUCCUCCUCCAUCUCUGCUGAGCUGCUCGCAGCUCUUCCUUCCUGGGCAGACCUCCACGCUCCUCGGACUGCGCCUGCAGAUGCGGUACCUCCCUCCUGCUCUGUACGCUCUGUCUCCAGCUCCUGUCACAGUUUUCCUCCCUGA